CGAACGCUGGCGGCGUGCUUAACACAUGCAAGUCGAGCGGAAAGGCCCUGCUUUUGUGGGGUGCUCGAGUGGCGAACGGGUGAGUAACACGUGAGUAACCUGCCCUUGACUUUGGGAUAACUUCAGGAAACUGGGGCUAAUACCGGAUAGGAGCUCCUGCUGCAUGGUGGGGGUUGGAAAGUUUCGGCGGUUGGGGAUGGACUCGCGGCUUAUCAGCUUGUUGGUGGGGUAGUGGCUUACCAAGGCUUUGACGGGUAGCCGGCCUGAGAGGGUGACCGGCCACAUUGGGACUGAGAUACGGCCCAGACUCCUACGGGAGGCAGCAGUGGGGAAUAUUGCACAAUGGGCGGAAGCCUGAUGCAGCAACGCCGCGUGCGGGAUGACGGCCUUCGGGUUGUAAACCGCUUUCGCCUGUGACGAAGCGUGAGUGACGGUAAUGGGUAAAGAAGCACCGGCUAACUACGUG
rnacentral:rRNA from 1 species